rnacentral:rRNA from 1 species
UCAAGUUAUUAAGGGUGCAGGGCGGAUGCCUUGGCACUAGGAGCCGAUGAAGGACGUGAUAAGCUGCGAUAAGCUUCGGGGAGUUGCACGUAAACUUUGAUCCGAAGAUUUCCGAAUGAGGAAACUCACUUAGAGUAAUGUCUAAGUAUCAUUAAGUGAAUACAUAGCUUAAUGAGGGGAACUCAGGGAACUGAAACAUCUAAGUACCUGAAGGAAGAGAAAGAAAUUCGAUUCCGUAAGUAGCGGCGAGCGAACGCGGAUUAGCCCAAACCAAUAAAGUUUUCUUUAUUGGGGUUGCGGACAUAUCAUAACGAAGAGGUAUCGUAAUUGAAGAGGUUUGGAAAGACCCACCACAGAAGGUAAUAGUCCUGUAUGUUAAACGAGAAGACUUCAGAUAUGAUCCAGAGUACCACGGGACACGUGAAACCCUGUGGGAAGCAGGAGGGACCACCCUCCAAGGCUAAAUACUACCUAGUGACCGAUAGCGUAUAGUACCGUGAGGGAAAGGUGAAAAGAACCCCGGGAGGGGAGUGAAAUAGAACCUGAAACCCUGCACUUACAAGCUGUGGAAGCACAUUUCUUGUGUGACCGCGUACUUUUUGUAGAACGGGCCAACGAGUUACGUUAAGUAGCAAGGUUAAGCACUUAAGGUGCGGAGCCGUAGCGAAAGCGAGUUUUAACUGAGCGUUCAGUUACUUGACGUAGACCCGAAACCGGGCGACCUACCCAUGAGCAGGAUGAAGCGAAAGUAAAAUUUCGUGGAGGUCCGAACCCACGAGCGUUGAAAAGCUCGGGGAUGACUUGUGGGUAGCGGUGAAAUUCCAAUCGAGCCCGGAGAUAGCUGGUUCUCCCCGAAAUAGCUUUAGGGCUAGCCUCAAGGUGAGAGAUACGGAGGUAGAGCACUGAAUGUCCUAGGGGGUAUUGCACCUACCGAAGACUAUCAAACUCCGAAUGCCGUCAUCUUAUACUUGGGAGUCAGACUGUGGGUGAUAAGAUUCAUAGUCGAAAGGGCAACAGCCCAGAUCGUCAGCUAAGGUCCCUAAAUGUAAGUUAAGUGGUAAAGGAUGUGGGAUUGCACAGACAACCAGGAUGUUGGCUUAGAAGCAGCCACUCAUUCAAAGAGUGCGUAAUAGCUCACUGGUCGAGUGAUCCUGCGCCGAAGAUUUACGGGGCUAAAACUUACUACCGAAGCUACGGCAUCAGUAAUGAUGGGUAGGGGAGCUUCCCAUACAGGUUGAAGCAUGACUGUAAGGACAUGUGGACAGUAUGGGAGUGAGAAUGUUGGCAUGAGUAGCGAGAUGUGGGUGAGAAUCCCACAGGCCGUAAACCCAAGGUUUCCAGGGGAAGGUUCGUCCGCCCUGGGUUAGUCGGGACCUAAGCUGAGGCCGAAAGGCGUAGGUGAUGGACAACAGGUUGAUAUUCCUGUACUACCGAUAACCGUUUGAGAGAAGGGAUGACACAGUAGGAUAAGCUAAGCACACUGUUGGUUAUGUGUGCCCAAGCAUUGAGGUAGUCAAAGCAGGCAAAUCCGCUUUGAUAAUGCUGGGAUGUGAUGGGGAGCGAAAUUUAGUAGCGAAGUAGCUGAUUUCACACUGUCAAGAAAAGUCUCUAUCGAGGUUAAAGGUACCCGUACCGCAAACCGACACAGGUGGGUGAGGAGAGUAUCCUAAGGCCAGCGAGAGAACUGUUGUUAAGGAACUCGGCAAAAUGACCCCGUAACUUAGGGAUAAGGGGUGCCACCAUCCGGUGGCCGCAGAGAAUAGGCCCAAGCGACUGUUUACCAAAAACAUAGGUUUCUGCUAAGUCGCAAGACGAUGUAUAGGAGCUGACGCCUGCCCGGUGCUGGAAGGUUAAGGGGAUCUGUUAGAGCAAUCGAAGCAGUGAACUUAAGCCCCAGUAAACGGCGGCCGUAACUAUAACGGUCCUAAGGUAGCGAAAUUCCUUGUCGGGUAAGUUCCGACCCGCACGAAAGGCGUAACGAUUUGGGCACUGUCUCAACAACAGACUCGGUGAAAUUGUAAUUCCGGUGAAGAUGCCGGAUACCUGCGACAGGACGGAAAGACCCCAUGGAGCUUUACUGUAGCUUGACAUUGGGUCUUGGUACUACAUGUACAGGAUAGGUGGGAGGCUUUGAAACCAGGACGCCAGUUUUGGCGGAGCCAUCCUUGGGAUACCACCCUUGUAGUACUGGGACUCUAACCAUAGGCCAUGAAUCUGGUCUUGGGACACUGUCAGGUGGGCAGUUUGACUGGGGCGGUCGCCUCCCAAAAGGUAACGGAGGCGCUCAAAGGUUCUCUCAGUACGGUCGGAAAUCGUACGUAGAGUGUAAAGGCAAAAGAGAGCUUGAUUGCAAGACAUACAGGUCGAGCAAGGAUGAAAAUCGGACUUAGUGAUCCGGUGGUUCUGCGUGGAAGGGCCAUCGCUCAACGGAUAAAAGCUACCCUGGGGAUAACAGGCUUAUCUCCCCCAAGAGUCCACAUCGACGGGGAGGUUUGGCACCUCGAUGUCGGCUCAUCACAUCCUGGGGCUGUAGUAGGUCCCAAGGGUUGGGCUGUUCGCCCAUUAAAGUGGUACGCGAGCUGGGUUCAGAACGUCGUGAGACAGUUCGGUCCCUAUCCGUCGCAGGCGUAGGAAAUUUGAGAAGACCUGUCCUUAGUACGAGAGGACCGGGAUGGACGUACCUCUGGUGUACCAGUUGUUCUGCCAAGGGCAUGGCUGGGUAGCUAUGUACGGAAUGGAUAAGCGCUGAAAGCAUCUAAGCGCGAAGCCAACUUCAAGAUAAGAUUUCCCACCGCAAGGGUAAGACCCCAGAAAGACUAUCUGGUUGAUAGGUCGAAGGUGUAAGUGCAGCAAUGUAUUUAGCUUAUCGAUACUAAUAGGUCGAGGACUUGACCAA